rnacentral:rRNA from 1 species
CCUACGGGGGGCAGCAGUGGGGAAUAUUGGACAAUGGGGGGAACCCUGAUCCAGCCAUGCCGCGUGUGUGAAGAAGGCCCUCGGGUUGUAAAGCACUUUCAGUGAGGAAGAACGCCUGGUGGUUAAUACCCAUCAGGAAAGACAUCACUCACAGAAGAAGCACCGGCUAACUCCGUGCCAGCAGCCGCGGUAAUACGGAGGGUGCGAGCGUUAAUCGGAAUUACUGGGCGUAAAGCGCGCGUAGGUGGCUUGAUAAGCCGGUUGUGAAAGCCCCGGGCUCAACCUGGGAACGGCAUCCGGAACUGUCAAGCUAGAGUGCAGGAGAGGAAGGUAGAAUUCCCGGUGUAGCGGUGAAAUGCGUAGAGAUCGGGAGGAAUACCAGUGGCGUAGGCGGCCUUCUGGACUGACACUGACACUGAGGUGCGAAAGCGUGGGUAGCAAACAGGAUUAGAUACCCGAGUAGUC